rnacentral:rRNA from 1 species
CCUACGGGGGGCAGCAGUGAGGAAUAUUGGUCAAUGGACGGGAGCCUGAACCAGCCAAGCCGCGUGAAGGAAGACGGCGCCAGGCGUCGUAAACUUCUUUUGUCGGGGAACAAAGGGCGCCACGCGUGGCGUUGUGAGUGUACCCGAAGACAAAGCAUCGACUAACUCCGUGCCAGCAGCCGCGGUAAUACGGAGGAUGCGCGCGUUAUCCGGAUUUAUUGGGUUUAAAGGGUGCGUAGGCGGUCCGGAACGGCAGCGGUAAAAGCCCGGGGCUCAACCCCGGCGAGCAGUUGAAGCUGGCGGACUAGAGACGGCGAGAAGUACGCGGAAUGCGUGGUGUAGCGGUGAAAUGCAUAGAUAUCGCGCAGAACUCCGAUUGCGAAGGAAGCGGACCGGCGCCGGACUGACGCUGAGGCACGAAAGCGCGGGUAUCGAACAGGAUUAGAUACCCUGGUAGUC